GACGAACGCUGGCGGCGUGCUUAACACAUGCAAGUCGAACGGAAAGGCCCUGCUUUUGUGGGGUGCUCGAGUGGCGAACGGGUGAGUAACACGUGAGUAACCUGCCCUUGACUUUGGGAUAACUUCAGGAAACUGGGGCUAAUACCGGAUAGGAGCUCCUGCUGCAUGGUGGGGGUUGGAAAGUUUCGGCGGUUGGGGAUGGACUCGCGGCUUAUCAGCUUGUUGGUGGGGUAGUGGCUUACCAAGGCUUUGACGGGUAGCCGGCCUGAGAGGGUGACCGGCCACAUUGGGACUGAGAUACGGCCCAGACUCCUACGGGAGGCAGCAGUGGGGAAUAUUGCACAAUGGGCGGAAGCCUGAUGCAGCAACGCCGCGUGCGGGAUGACGGCCUUCGGGUUGUAAACCGCUUUCGCCUGUGACGAAGCGUGAGUGACGGUAAUGGGUAAAGAAGCACCGGCUAACUACGUGCCAGCAGCCGCGGUGAUACGUAGGGUGCGAGCGUUGUCCGGAUUUAUUGGGCGUAAAGGGCUCGUAGGUGGUUGAUCGCGUCGGAAGUGUAAUCUUGGGGCUUAACCCUGAGCGUGCUUUCGAUACGGGUUGACUUGAGGAAGGUAGGGGAGAAUGGAAUCCCUGGUGGAGCGGUGGAAUGCGCAGAUAUCAGGAGGAACACCAGUGGCGAAGGCGGUUCUCUGGGCCUUUCCUGACGCUGAGGAGCGAAAGCGUGGGGAGCGAACAGGCUUAGAUACCCUGGUAGUCCACGCUGUAAACGGUGGGUACUAGGUGUGGGGUCCAUUCCACGGGUUCCGUGCCGUAGCUAACGCUUUAAGUACCCCGCCUGGGGAGUACGGCCGCAAGGCUAAAACUCAAAGGAAUUGACGGGGCCCCGCACAAGCGGCGGAGCAUGCGGAUUAAUUCGAUGCAACGCGUAGAACCUUACCUGGGUUUGACAUGGAUCGGGAGUGCUCAGAGAUGGGUGUGCCUCUUUUGGGGUCGGUUCACAGGUGGUGCGUGGCUGUCGUCAGCUCGUGUCGUGAGAUGUUGGGUUAAGUCCCGCAACGAGCGCAACCCUUGUUCACUGUUGCCAGCACGUUAUGGUGGGGACUCAGUGGAGACCGCCGGGGUCAACUCGGAGGAAGGUGGGGAUGACGUCAAGUCAUCAUGCCCCUUAUGUCCAGGGCUUCACGCAUGCUACAAUGGCUGGUACAGAGAGUGGCGAGCCUGUGAGGGUGAGCGAAUCUCGGAAAGCCGGUCUCAGUUCGGAUUGGGGUCUGCAACUCGACCUCAUGAAGUCGGAGUCGCUAGUAAUCGCAGAUCAGCAACGCUGCGGUGAAUACGUUCCCGGGGCU
rnacentral:rRNA from 1 species